rnacentral:lncRNA from 1 species
AUGGAAACUGUGAGUACGUCCCCGAGGGAACGCGAACUCACUGCGGGAUGUGGCCGAGGAAUCCCUAUAAACCACACCCCCGGCAGCGCCCUCAUUUUCUUUGGUUCGCACCAGAACGCAGCGAUCUGGGAAAACGAUGUGUGUCAGCGGACCUGUCAUCCCAAGGAAAGGACCCGCACGGCCCGGUACAGGCAAGCUCCGCCCCCCUUCAAGGACAGCAAGUCCCUGGAUACAGGAAACAGGUGCCCAGGCCGUGCAGAGAUACCAGGCGACAAUGAUUAUGCCAACCAAGCAGCUGUUCCUGAGAAAAAUAAGCAAUGUGUCCGCCUCCGCGAGCCGGAGCUGGCCCUGGUUUCCAACAUGGGUCUUGGAAGUCACCCCUGUGCCGGAAAUUCACCAUUGCAAGAAAAACGGAGGCCAAACACAUUUCAGGAGAAUAGGAAAUGACACUGGUUGA